rfam:Triticum aestivum genome assembly, contig: Triticum_aestivum_CS42_TGACv1_scaffold_030596_1BL
AUACUACUCCCUCCGUCUCAAAAUUAUUGUCUUUAAUUUGUCUACAUAUGGAUGUAUCUAGAUACAUUCAUAUGUAGAUAAUUUUAAAACAAUAAUUUUGGGACGGAGGGAGUACUUU